rnacentral:rRNA from 1 species
UACGUAGGGGGCAAGCGUUGUCCGGAAUUAUUGGGCGUAAAGCGCGCGCAGGCGGUUUUUUAAGUCUGGGGUUUAAGUUCGGGGCUCAACCCCGUAUCGCCCUGGAAACUGGGGAACUGGAGUGUAGGAGAGGAAAGUGGAAUUCCACGUGUAGCGGUGAAAUGCGUAGAGAUGUGGAGGAACACCAGUGGCGAAGGCGACUACCUGGCCUGUUCUUGACGCUGAGGCGCGAAAGCUAGGGGAGCAAACGGG